rnacentral:rRNA from 1 species
CCAAUAGCGUAUAUUAAAGUUGCUGCAGUUAAAAAGCUCGUAGUUGAAUUUCGGGACCAUCAUGUCGGUCGUGCCUCGGUACGUACUGGCAUUGUUGGUUUCUCCCUUCUGACGAACCAUGAUGUCAUUUAUUUGGUGUUGUGGGGAAUCAGGACUGUUACUUUGAAAAAAUUAAAGUGUUUAAAGCAGGCUCACGCUUGAAUACAUUAGCAUGGAAUAAUGAAAUAGGACGUUUGAUUCUAUUUUGUUGGUUUCUAGGAUCGACGUAAUGAUUAAUAGGGAUAGUUGGGGGCAUUAGUAUUCAAUUGUCAGAGGUGAAAUUCUUGGAUUUAUUGAAGACUAACUACUGCGAAAGCAUUUGCCAAGGAUGUUUUCAUUAAUCAAGAACGAAAGUUAGGGGAUCGAAGACGAUCAGAUACCGUCGUAGUCUUAACCAUAAACUAUGCCGACUAGGGAUCGGAUGAUGUUAAUUUUUUAAUGACUCAUUCGGCGCCUUACG